GCAUUACGUAUGAUAUGCACAAAGCUCAAAACAUUAGACGCAUUCAAUGUUCUACCUUGGUUGAAAGCAAAUGAUCAAUUAUCUAUCCCAUUAAACUAUAUGAGAGAGCAUCAGCACCAUAUUAAACACGAGAAGCAAAAGGUAUUCCUAGAAUCAUGUAUACUCUAGGUUUGACUGCAUCACAAUGAAGAUUAACUAGAAGCCGUUAAGUACCGUAUAAAGGGACAAUGCAUCAAAACUGAGUGGGACAAGGUAAAUAGAAAACCCUUUACCCUUUUGAGGCAAUGAAACAGGAGUAUCCCUGGAGUCCAAUGCAUUAUCAAGAACAUAAGGAAGAUCUAGCAAUUCCAAAAAAGAUAGAGUCUGAGAAUUACGGGAAGAACC